rnacentral:rRNA from 1 species
GCGUUGUCCGGAAUUACUGGGUGUAAAGCGCGUGUAGGUGGCAGGCCAAGUCUGUCGUGAAAGUGCCCGGCUCAACUGGGCAAGGUCGAUGGAAACUGGUCAGCUGGAGGACGGUAGAGGCGAGUGGAAUUCCCGGUGUAGUGGUGAAAUGCGUAGAGAUCGGGAGGAACACCAGUGGCGAAGGCGGCUCGCUGGGCCGGUCCUGACACUGAGACGCGAAGGCGUG